rnacentral:lncRNA from 1 species
GUCAGAAGCAAGGCGGAAGAUAAAAUAAAGAAAAAAUAUCCAAACAAGAAAAUGACAAAAGCAAGAUAAAAAAACCUAUUAAAAUGAAUUGACGGAAUCCACACCUUCCUCCUGAUCACUGUUACUACCAAGUUCUUGAACUUCAGGAGUCUCAAAAUACUGACACCAUCCCCACCACUCUUCUGCUGGAUCAUCUUUGAGGUCCUUGGAGCAAAAGAUGAAAUGAGUGGCAACUUCCUUAGUUGCUCCUUGCCAGUCAGCUUCAUAGAACCAGCCUUGCAUUCAUUGUUAUUGGCUCCAUAUUUGAAGAAUGUCCUGCCCAACUCAUAACAAAUGCCAUCAAUUCAAGAGGACCUUCUCUACAGUGCGCACUAUUGGGCUUGUGUACUGACUGCACAGGAAGAAAUAAUCAACCUAGUUUAUUCUGAACCCAGUCAGUUCCUGACCACAUUCCGUAAAUGCAGGCAUUUGGAAGAAAACAAACUGAUCCACAGGUAA